rnacentral:rRNA from 1 species
GACGAACGCUGGCGGCGUGCUUAACACAUGCAAGUCGAGCGGUAAGGCCCUUUCGGGGGUACACGAGCGGCGAACGGGUGAGUAACACGUGGGUGACCUGCCCUCAGCUCUGGGAUAAGCCUGGGAAACUGGGUCUAAUACUGGAUAUAGACUCCACGGUGCAUGUCGUGGGGUGGAAAGCCUUGUGCGGCUGAGGAUGGGCCCGCGGCCUAUCAGCUUGUUGGUGGGGUGANGGCCU